CGCUGGCGGCGUGCCUAACACAUGCAAGGUCGAACGGGGUUGUUCCUUCGGGGACAACUUAGUGGCGAACGGGUGAGUAACGCGUGAGGAACCUGCCCUUGCGUGGGGAUACCGUUUGGAAACGAACGUUAAUACCGCAUAAUGUAAUGGAAUCGCAUGGUUUUAUUACCAAAGAUUUAUUGCGCAAGGAUGGGCUCGCGUCUGAUUAGAUAGUUGGUGAGGUAACGGCUCACCAAGUCUACGAUCGGUAGCCGGACUGAGAGGUUGAUCGGCCACAUUGGGACUGAGACACGGCCCAGACUCCUACGGGAGGCAGCAGUGGGGGAUAUUGCGCAAUGGGGGAAACCCUGACGCAGCAACGCCGCGUGAAGGAAGAAGGUUUUCGGAUUGUAAACUUCUGUUCUUAGGGAAGAAGACGGUGACGGUACCUAAGGAGCAAGCCACGGCUAACUACGUG
rnacentral:rRNA from 1 species